UAGAGUUUGAUCCUGGCUCAGGACGAACGCUGGCGGCGUGCCUAACACAUGCAAGUCGAACGGAACUGUUUUGAAAGAUUUCUUCGGAAUGAAUUUGAUUUAGCUUAGUGGCGGACGGGUGAGUAACGCGUGAGUAACCUGCCUUCAAGAGGGGGAUAACAUUCUGAAAAGAAUGCUAAUACCGCAUGACAUAUCGGAACCACAUGGUUCUGAUAUCAAAGAUUUUAUCGCUUGAAGAUGGACUCGCGUCCGAUUAGUUAGUUGGUGAGGUAACGGCUCACCAAGACCGCGAUCGGUAGCCGGACUGAGAGGUUGAACGGCCACAUUGGGACUGAGACACGGCCCAGACUCCUACGGGAGGCAGCAGUGGGGGAUAUUGCGCAAUGGGGGCAACCCUGACGCAGCAACGCCGCGUGAAGGAUGAAGGUUUUCGGAUUGUAAACUUCUUUUAUUAAGGACGAAAAAUGACGGUACUUAGUGAAUAAGCUCCGGCUAACUACGUGCCAGCAGCCGCGGUAAUACGUAGGGAGCAAGCGUUGUCCGGAUUUACUGGGUGUAAAGGGUGCGUAGGCGGCUUUGCAAGUCAGAUGUGAAAUCUAUGGGCUCAACCCAUAAACUGCAUUUGAAACUGUAGAGCUUGAGUGAAGUAGAGGCAGGCGGAAUUCCCCGUGUAGCGGUGAAAUGCGUAGAGAUGGGGAGGAACACCAGUGGCGAAGGCGGCCUGCUGGGCUUUAACUGACGCUGAGGCACGAAAGCGUGGGUAGCAAACAGGAUUAGAUACCCUGGUAGUCCACGCUGUAAACGAUGAUUACUAGGUGUGGGGGGUCUGACCCCUUCCGUGCCGGAGUUAACACAAUAAGUAAUCCACCUGGGGAGUACGGCCGCAAGGUUGAAACUAAAAGGAAUUGACGG
rnacentral:rRNA from 1 species